CACGGGGGGAGCAAGCGUUGUUCGGAAUCACUGGGCGUAAAGGGCGUGUAGGCGGUCAAGUAAGUGGAAUGUGAAAGCCCCCGGCUUACCCGGGGAUCUGCAUCCCAAACUGCUUGGCUUGAGUACGGGAGAGGAUGGAGGAAUUCCUGGUGUAGCGGUGGAAUGCGCAGAUAUCAGGAGGAACACCAAUAGCGAAGGCAGCUCGCUGGGACGGUACUGACGCUAAGGCGCGAAAGCGUGGGGAGCGAACAGG
rnacentral:rRNA from 1 species